rnacentral:rRNA from 1 species
UACGGGGGGAGCAAGCGUUGUUCGGAUUUACUGGGCGUAAAGGGCGCGUAGGUGGCCCGACAAGUCACUGGUGAAAGCUCGAUGCUCAACAUCGAGUCGGCCAGUGAUACUGUUGGGCUGGAGCACUGUAGAGGCUAAUGGAAUUCCGGGUGUAGCGGUGGAAUGCGUAGAGAUCCGGAAGAACACCGGUGGCGAAGGCGGUUAGCUGGGCAGUUGCUGACACUGAGGCGCGACAGCGUGGGGAGCAAACAGG